rnacentral:rRNA from 1 species
AUUGAACGCUGGCGGCAGGCCUAACACAUGCAAGUCGAGCGAGCGGCGGACGGGUGAGUAUUGUAUGGGGACUGCCCGAUAGAGGGGGAUAACUACUGGAAACGGUAGCUAAUACAGCAUACUAUCGGAUAAUCCCUAUGGGAUUAGCUAGUAGGUGGGGUAAUGGCGCACCUAGGCGACGAUCCCUAGAUGGUCUGAGAGGAUGAGAAGCCACACUGGGACUGAGACACGGCCCAGACUCCUACGGAGGCAGCAGUGGGGAAUAUUGCACAAUGGGCGCAAGCCUGAUGCAGCCAUGCCGCGUGUAUGAAGAAGGCCUUAGGGUUGUAAAGUACUUUCAGUCGGGAGGCGUUACCGACAGAAGAAGCACCGGCUAACUCCGUGCCAGCAGCCGCGGUAAUAC